rnacentral:rRNA from 1 species
GAUGAACGCUGGCGGCGUGCCUAAUACAUGCAAGUCGAGCGUACGGACGAGAAGCUUGCUUCUCUGAUGUUAGCGGCGGACGGGUGAGUAACACGUGGAUAACCUACCUAUAAGACUGGGAUAACUUCGGGAAACCGGAGCUAAUACCGGAUGAUAUUUUGAACCGCAUGGUUCAAAAGUGAAAGACGGCCUUGCUGUCACUUAUAGAUGGAUCCGCGCUGCAUUAGCUAGUUGGUAAGGUAACGGCUUACCAAGGCAACGAUGCAUAGCCGACCUGAGAGGGUGAUCGGCCACACUGGAACUGAGACACGGUCCAGACUCCUACGGGAGGCAGCAGUAGGGAAUCUUCCGCAAUGGGCGAAAGCCUGACGGAGCAACGCCGCGUGAGUGAUGAAGGUCUUCGGAUCGUAAAACUCUGUUAUUAGGGAAGAACAUAUGUGUAAGUAACUGUGCACAUCUUGACGGUACCUAAUCAGAAAGCCACGGCUAACUACGUG